rnacentral:rRNA from 1 species
UUAACGCGAAGAACCUUACCAAGGCUUGACAUAUACCGGAAAGCAUCAGAGAUGGUGCCCCCCUUGUGGUCGGUAUACAGGUGGUGCAUGGCUGUCGUCAGCUCGUGUCGUGAGAUGUUGGGUUAAGUCCCGCAACGAGCGCAACCCUUGUUCUGUGUUGCCAGCAUGCCCUUCGGGGUGAUGGGGACUCACAGGAGACUGCCGGGGUCAACUCGGAGGAAGGUGGGGACGACGUCAAGUCAUCAUGCCCCUUAUGUCUUGGGCUGCACACGUGCUACAAUGGCCGGUACAAAGAGCUGCGAAGCCGCGAGGCGGAGCGAAUCUCAAAAAGCCGGUCUCAGUUCGGAUUGGGGUCUGCAACUCGACCCCAUGAAGUCGGAGUUGCUAGUAAUCGCAGAUCAGCAUGCUGCGGAAA